rnacentral:lncRNA from 1 species
UGGGUAUCAAACCACUGACUUACCGAGUCUUCAAAAGAGAAAACAACCGUGCUGAGGAAACAGACAAAUCCGCUGGCACACUGCAUGGGGAAAAGCGGUAACAACUCCACUUGCAACCCUGGUGGGGAUAUUAAUAACAGCUCUACUCGCGACUCCGAGGGGAGUAUCAGUUAAUCAGUUACACUCAUGACUGUGCUGAGGAGACAAAUAAAGUCUGGGGGAUACAACCCACUGGAGAAAGUGACAUGGCACCAAGAUGACAAAC